UGACCAUAAGUUUCUUUUCAACAGAUGGUGUUUAAAGGAGUACGUCAGCUAAAAAACUGGUAGUGAACUCUGUAACUGACUAACUGGGGAGGUAGCAGCAGAGACAUAAGCCAUAAGGAUGUAUUGAUGAAGGGCAGUUCAAGAGGCCUUAGAGAAAAUCACAACACAGCAUAUGCAGCUAAGCGGGGCUAGGGUAAAAACAAUUUUGUUCAAUAUACACUAACGUUCAGAUAUAUAUUUCAGGUGGCGAGAAAUACAAACAUCCUUCACCAAAACUGAUGGCACAUAAUCUUUUGAGGAAAAGAACAGCGUACAAAAGUCUGUUUCAGCGACUUGUCACUGAAGUUCUUUGCUUACCAGAGAAAGUACCAUUGAAGAUAUGAAGGAGUUUGUACUAUAUGAAUUACUCAAAUGAGAAGCUUGGCAAGUAUCGUCGGCGCCUAGAUCUACCUUGAAGUACUGGAGCAGCAACGAUAGUUGCAACACCGAGGACGAGAAUGACGAGGGAGUAUAGAAUAACUUUAUCCAAACUAUUUUUGAACUCUCUGUUUUUCAUAUUUUUUUAUAUAAUGAAUAAUGAGUUGUGAAAUUGAGGCACUCUCCUUCCAAGCAUGUGUUGCGUUUUCGUAAUUUAAAAGUUGGGUUUUAAAUUUUUAAUACAAAGUAAGACUUAUGUUUGUUAUUUUGAUCAGCACCUUUUACAUUAUUUUAUUUUCGUGUCUUUUCAUUUGUUGUCGACGUUUGGAUGAAUAAAGAGGCGAGCAGACCAUUAACUUGGAUCACACUACAACAAUAUUGAUCUCGAAGUUUAGACCCUUCUCAUACCAUACAAACGCGAGUUCCUUAUUAGACAUCUCUCUGCUCUCUUUUUUCUGCUAAAAUGUUUAAGGGAAAAAUUAAUUUUCCCGUUCUUGGGCGCUCACAUUAUCUUCAAAAACUUUAGAUUCCUCUCAAUUGUGCACCCUGCUUUACCAAAACUAUGACCUCUUUUACAAGUCAACAAGUCAUCAUGGGACAUCAUACAUCUAAUCCUAUAUAUACACAAAGAAAAGUUCAAAUAGCAUAUUUAAUAAUGUGUACAUUUAAAGAAAACUUUAUAUAUAAAGCUAUCAUUAAUUUUCAUUCAUAUAUAUGAAGUAAAAGUAUCAUCAAACUCAUAUCUAACUUAAACAAAUUCAAAUUUUAAACUGGAUAGUAUACUACAGAUAUUAGAAUAGAAAAAUCUUUUUCUUUAAUAAUAUUACGUAUAAAAAUAGAAUUGAGGAUUGCUGCUAACUAAACAAUUAAAACAAACUAGAUCUCGAUCCACGCAACCGCCCGGGUUUUUGUUUUCAUUAUUUUUAUAUAAACAUUUUGUUUUCAAUUCUAAAUUGGUAUAU